AGGCAUGGCAAAGAUUUAAUUUUAUUUUCCUUCGUAAAUGCAGAGAUGAGAACCAUGCAUGCGUAGUGAGUGGAGCAAGCUGAAAGCCCGCAGAAAGGCACGUUUGUUCUGAUCUACCAAUGUGAAUAAAAGGAGAUCGGAAGCUGAAAAGGGAAGGAGGCCAUCACUUUGUCAGUUUUCAGACUUCACACUGCUUCCUUCCUUGGGUACUUGGGCAGUGGCCUCCCUCGUAGGUCACCCAAGAUUCUUACCUCAACCGUGCAAAUUAGUCAAGCCCGUGCAAGGCCACACGCCCCAAGCCCGGCGGCAUUGCAGCAGUUUACCGCCGCAUCUAUUUGGAGAGUAGAGCAAUCGUGGGGAGACAGAGGGAAUCACCAAAUGAUGGCGCGCAGCACACCAGGGAGAGAAGCAACAGAUACCGUCGUGCUAGCAUCAAUCAGUAGGAGGACGUACGAAAGCGCCCACUAAACAAAAGCGUGUUAGCGUAUCCGUCGAGGCCGUCUGAUGAUUUAAUAAUUAGCGAGGGCGGCAGACAGAGGCUUGGCGAGACGGCUGUUGCAGACGGUGGAGACAGCGGGGGAGCCGUGGCAUGUGGAGGCGGUGGUAGAAG
rnacentral:lncRNA from 1 species